rnacentral:rRNA from 1 species
UAACGCGUGGAUAACCUGCCUUUCACAGGGGGAUAACAGCUGGAAACGGUUGCUAAUACCGCAUGAGCCUCUUUUGUCGCAUGACGGGAGAGGGAAAGAGAAAUCGGUGAGAGAUGGAUCCGCGUCCGAUUAGCUAGUUGGAGGGGUAACAGCCCACCAAGGCGACGAUCGGUAGCCGACCUGAGAGGGUGGACGGCCACAUUGGGACUGAGACACGGCCCAAACUCCUACGGGAGGCAGCAGUGGGGAAUAUUGCACAAUGGGGGAAACCCUGAUGCAGCAACGCCGCGUGAGUGAGGAAGUAUUUCGGUAUGUAAAGCUCUAUCAGCAGGGAAUAGAAAAGAAGGUACCUGAAAAAGAAGCCCCGGCUAACUACGUGCCAGCAGCCGCGGUAAUACGUAGGGGGCAAGCGUUAUCCGGAUUUACUGGGUGUAAAGGGAGCGUAGACGGAAAGGCAAGUCAGAAGUGAAAACCCAAGGCUCAACCAUGGGACUGCUUUUGAAACUGUGUUUCUUGAGUACUGGAGAGGCAGACGGAAUUCCUAGUGUAGCGGUGAAAUGCGUAGAUAUUAGGAGGAACACCAGUGGCGAAGGCGGUCUGCUGGACAGCAACUGACGCUGAGGCGCGAAAGCGUGGGGAGCAAACAGGAUUAGAUACCCUGGUAGUCCACGCUGUAAACGAUGGAUACUAGGUGU